UACCGUAAAUAUACUGCCUGAACCGCUC
rnacentral:sRNA from 1 species